AUGUUUUCAUUCCGCGUCGCUGCAUCAAGCUCUCACUGGAGCCGCUCCUCUGCGAUCAACGAGAGGAACGUAUGUACUUCCGCAACAGACAACAAAAUGUUUUGGUUGUUAAAAAAGGUGCACUCAUUCAAAACAGCUGAAGAAGUAAAGGAACAUCCCAAGCCUCGUCGUCCAUAUACCGCUGGAACAUACUGCGUCUCCCUAGCUCACCCCACUAUGAGAACCCCCACAUACCUCUCUAACGUCUCCUACUGGCUGCUCAAGUCCAAAUUCCCUGCUGACCUACAAAGUUCCCCCUUAGACAUAAGACCACCAGCCACCGCUGACUCAAGCCCGCCAGCAGCCAAAUUAACUCCAACCAUAAGAGGGGGAUGAGGAGGAAAAGACUGCUAGCAGCCCUCAUCCUUGCCUCUAAAUCAACUCCAGUUCCACUGCUCACUCCAGUGUUGGCUCCAGCCCCAGAGCUCGCUCAAGUGUUGGCUCCAGCCCCAGAGCUUGCUCAAGUGUUGGUUCCAGCCCCCGAAUCUGUCCAACCCGGUGAGGGCUCUUGUCCCUGUGUUUAGCCCAGUGAGGGCUCCUGUUCCCGAGUUUAGUCCAGUGAGGGCUCCUGUACCUGAGUUUAGCCCACGGAUGGCUCAUGUUCCCCAGUUUAGCC